rnacentral:rRNA from 1 species
GACGAACGCUGGCGGCGUGCUUAACACAUGCAAGUCGAGCGGUAAGGCCCUUUCGGGGGUACACGAGCGGCGAACGGGUGAGUAACACGUGGGUGACCUGCCCUCAGCUCUGGGAUAAGCCUGGGAAACCGGGUCUAAUACCGGAUAUGACUCCAUGACGCAUGUUGUGGGGCGGAAAGCCUUGUGCGGCUGAGGAUGGGCCCGCGGCCUAUCAGCUUGUUGGUGGGGUAACGGCUCACCAAGGCGACGAUCCGUAGCUGGUCUGAGAGGAUGGCCAGCCACACUGGAACUGAGACACGGGUCCAGACUCCUACGGGAGGCAGCGAGUGGGGAAUAUUGGACAAGUGGGGAAACCC